UACGUAGGGGGCUAGCGUUGUCCGGAAUCAUUGGGCGUAAAGCGCGUGUAGGCGGUCCGGUAAGUCCGCUGUGAAAGUCGAGGGCUCAACCCUCGAAUGCCGGUGGAUACUGUCGGGCUUGAGUACGGGAGAGGCGAGUGGAAUUCCUGGUGUAGCGGUGAAAUGCGCAGAUAUCGGGAGGAACACCAAUGGCGAAGGCAGCUCGCUGGGACGGUACUGACGCUGAGGCGCGAAAGCGUGGGGAGCAAACAGG
rnacentral:rRNA from 1 species